GUGGGGAAUAUUGGACAAUGGGGGCAACCCUGAUCCAGCCAUGCCGCGUGAGUGAUGAAGGCCUUCGGGUUGUAAAGCUCUUUUGGCGGGGACGAUGAUGACGGUACCCGCAGAAUAAGCCCCGGCUAACUUCGUGCCAGCAGCCGCGGUAAGACGAAGGGGGCUAGCGUUGUUCGGAAUUACUGGGCGUAAAGCGCGUGUAGGCGGUUGUUCAAGUCAGGUGUGAAAGCCUUGAGCUCAACUCAAGAAAUGCACUUGAUACUGGAUGACUAGAGGACCGGAGAGGAUAGUGGAAUUCCCAGUGUAGUGGUGAAAUACGUAGAGAUUGGGAAGAACACCAGUGGCGAAGGCGGCUAUCUGGACGGUUUCUGACGCUAAGACGCGAAAGCGUGGGGAGCAAACAGGAUUAGAAACCCCUGUAGUCC
rnacentral:rRNA from 1 species